rnacentral:rRNA from 1 species
CGAAAUCUACCCUUCCGUCCCGGGAUAACUAGCCGAAAGGUUAGCUAAUCCCAGAUACGCUCAUCGAGCGGCAUCGUUUGAUGAUGAAAGCAGCAAUGCGCGGAUUGAGGAGCCUGCGGCCCAUUAGCUAGUUGGCGAGGGUAACGGCCCACCAAGGCAACGAUGGGUAGCUGGUCUGAGAGGACGACCAGCCACACUGGGACUGAGACACGGCCCAG